ACAGUCACUGACAUUAGAUACCCCUGUAGUCCAGGGUGUAAACGCUGCAGACUUGGUGUUGGAAGUCCUUUGGGGGCAUUCAGUGCCGGAGAGAAGUUGUUAAGUCUGCUACUUGGGGAGUACGUCCGCAAGGAUGAAACUUAAAGGAAUUGGCGGGGGAGCACCGCAACGGGAGGAGCGUGCGGUUUAAUUGGAUUCAACACCGUAAAACUCACCAGGGAAGACUGUUACAUGAAAGCCGAGAUGAAGACUCUGCUAGAUUUUCAG
rnacentral:rRNA from 1 species